CGAGGCGGCUCCGCGCAGCAGCCGCGCCAGCCUCAUGCUGAGCCCCGCCGGAGGAGCCGGAGCCCCCGGCGCCAGGUCGCCGCUCCGCGGCUCGUCCGGGUGGGGAGGAAACUGAAACCCAACGAGUUUCAGGAGCAGACCGUUGCCAAACAGUGGGACAAAAGUACGAAUGGUGAUCACUGCAGAGUGUGGCCCUAAAUAAUAGCACAACGACCGCCGUCCCAGGAGAAGAGAAUUGGCAGCCCAACUUGAAGCGUUAUCUACAGGCAUUCUCGGCCUGGGCAGCAGUGUAUUAAAAAAGGCUCCCUCCACUCCGAUUGCCCUUCUCUCUGUCCUCUUAGCGUCACAGUUUGGUUGCCCCAUCCUUUCCAGGUUUCUAAAUAUAAGACUAAAUGUAAUAUAAGACUAGAGAAUUUCUAAUUUUGAUUCAAUCCCUUAGAGUUGCAAAGGCUGAGUCACAGUGAAAAUUACCACUGUCCCUUCUCUCCACUGCUACUUCCCCAUAUUAUCGAACCACAGUGCUUUAUAUUGUCCUAGAUGCAACAAAAGUACUUUUCCAUGGGUGUGUAGUUUAUCAAUUUUAUUGUAUAAUUUAUUAUACAAUAAAAAGUUUAUAUGUAUAGAUACACAUAUAUACGUAUAUAUGUGUAUAUAUAUCCAGCAGUUACUGGUAUAGAAUAAUUCAUUUCUCCAUAUGGUCAGUUCUUGAGUUGUAUAAAGAAUGAGAUGAGGACUUCCCUGGUGGCACAGUGGUUAAGAAUCCGCCUGCCAAUGUAGGGGUCACGGGUUCAAUCCCUGGUCCGGGAAGAUCCCACAUGCCGCGGAGCAACUAAGCCCGUGCGCCACAACUACUGAGUCUGUGCUCUAGAGCCCACGAGCCACAACUACCGAAGCCAGUGCGCCUAGAGCCCACGCUGUGCAUCGAGAAAAGCCACCGCAACGAGCCCAUGCACCGCAACGAAGAAUAGCCCCCACUCUCCACAACUAGAGAAAGCCCGUACGCAGUAACAAAGACCCAACGCAGCCAUAAAUAAAUAAAUAAAUUUAUUUUUAAAAAAAGAAUGGGGCUUCCCUGGUGGUGCAGUGGUUGACAGUCCGCCUGCCGAUGCAGGGGACACGAGUUCGUGCCUCGGUCCGGGAAGAUCCCACAUGCCGCGGAGUGGCUGGGCCCGUGAGCCAUGGCCGCUGAGCCUGCGCGUCCGGAGCCUGUGCUCCGCAACGGGAGAGGCCACAGCGGUGAGAGGUCCACGUACCGCCAAAAAAAAAAAAAAAUAAGUAGGAUGGUCUGAGGCCUGGGGAAAGAUGAAUGGAGGUAAGGCGGUGAAGUAACCCGUGUUCUGCGCAUGCGCAACUGAGCUACGUGCUUUUUCAUGGGAUGCUUGUUCAGAAAAUGGAGGGGUUAGUGUGAUCUGAGGGUGGAGUGUUUUGGCCUUCUGAUGUCAAAAGGUCAUCUAUCCAACACUGCAGAAGGCCCAGUUGAAUAGUUGGCAGUCUCGACCAGUAUGAACUGGGCAAGACUAGCUCCAUGUUCCUGAAAAACAGCUUUUGAAACCGUUACUAUAGUGAUCCAUACGUCAGAGGUGUUACCUAUAGGGGGCGGUUAAAGGAGUCUUGUGAUGUAUUGUCUAAGCUAUGUGAAGCUUGAAGGGUGUGCAAUUUGUAGGAACAGUUAAGGCAGGUUUGAUCAGUGAAGGCAGGUUACAUAUGAUUAAGCAAGUUAUAGUUUAAGGGAUCUGUUGACUGCCCUUGCUUUCAUUAUCCCACAGGUUUAGCUUGAGGGAGAACAUUGACCACCUGGAAACAAGUGUAGGCAGUUGAGGGGAUGGGGUGGAAGCAGGAAACAUAUUUUCCCAAAGUGGUGCCUCUAAUAAUUCUUUCAGGUAUCUGUUAAAAUGGUGGUUGUUAUGAUUUUGGUGACAAUAUCUUAGAGGAAGCAGUAUGAACAUGAGUAUGAGAUAUGUAGAGAAAGUAAUCAGGGGGUGGUAUCUCUUUCAUAUGUUUGCUGCCCCAUCAGCCAUACUCUGUACCCUCCAAAUGUGGCCUUCCUUCAUCCAUUCUAUGAAUAUUUGUUGAAUGCCUAGGUACCAGGUCAUGUUCUAGGUGGCUGGGAAUAAAGCCAUGUGCAAUUCAGAUAGGAUCCCUUUCACAUAUGCCUGCUUUUACAAAGCAUAUAAUGCAAAGUCCAACAUGGUAGAAGAAUUUUACACGUUGUCUUCAAAUAUUAGCCUGCUCCGUAAAAGAAAGAUUAGGUUUGUUCUGAGUGGCCCAGGAAGCAGAUGGAAGACUUGUGGGUGGAAACUGUAGGGAGACAGAUCUGACUCACACAUGGAAAAACUUUGGUUACAGCCCUUUGACUGUGAAAUGGGCAACCUUAGAGGAGGAGGGGGUUCUUGUCAAUGACUGUUAGAGUCUGGAGGACAGCUUUCUAAGGACACUGUGGGGAGGAUGAUUAGGAAGCAAUGUGGUGCUAUGAAAAGAGACUGGAUUCUGGUGUCAAAUCCUGGCUCUUUCGUGAACUGGCUAUGUGGCCUUGGGUGAGUUACUUAACCUCUCUGAGCCUCAGCCUCCUUACCUAAAAAGGGGGUAUAAUAUCUGUCUCACUGGGGGUGACUGUAACAUAGAUAGUUUAGCCAUCUGUGUUAGCACAAUGCCCAGGACAUACUAAACACUCAAAUGCCCUCUAUUUUUUUUUUUUAUCAUUACUGGUGGUUUUUUAAAGUUAUUUCCUUAUUACGGUUUGAUCAGAACCACUCACAUACAUGUUUUGCAUGAAGCCAACUUUACCAAAGAUUUGGUAGAAAACAAUUUACAAUGGAAUAUUAGCCAUCCUUAAAAUAGUCCCUCAACUACUCUGUGAUUCUGCUGCAGCCUCCAGUCGUUUUGCCGUCCUCCUUCUCCCCUUCCUUCCAGAUCACUCCUUGAGCUCUAAAUUCUUCUCACACUAUCAUGCACAGUUUUAUUCAGCUUCCUCAGCCCUGAUUUGCAACUGUGCUGUUUUCCACCUGAGCAUGUCGAGGUGCUCAGCUGAACAUUAACUGUGUGAAAGCACAAAGGCCGGGCAGAAAGCUUGAGAUUUAUCAUAUCAAGGUUCUUUCACCCAGAAACCAAUCCAGCUUUUCUUUUCUCCAAAGUAUAUUCACCAAGCUUCCACCCAAUAUACAGAGAAUGAGUAUAUAAAAAUAGAUUUAAAAUUACAUCAACUUUUCACUUCUUGGUCAGAGGCUUAGGGUCCAGAAACUGGAGAGAACAUUAGAUUUUUUUCAGGUAUCUGUGAACAUGACGGUUGUUAAGACUAUAGUAAAAAUAUUUUAGAGGGAGCAAUAUAAGCAUAAGACUGUAAGAUACGGGAUCAAAGGUAGAAAGUGAUCAAAGGAUGGUAUCUCUUUUACGAACUUUUACCAAAGGGCUAUGUUAUUUAACUAUGUACAUAUAAAGUAUAACUGUAAUGUAAGGCUCUAUAAAAACCUUUAUAGCAGACUUGGGCGGGAUUCUCUAAAUUCACUGAGAUUUUAUGAUUCUUGUUGGACUGAUUUGACUGAAAAUCAUGGAAACAAGCUGGACUAUGUUCACCCUGUCUCCUUUACCCUCUGGCUUCAUGGGGCUCAGAGGACAAGAGGAAAGUUAUGACUAUUUAUUCUCCUGCCCCUUCCUGCUGGGCCAUUAUUUGCGUCCCUCUUAAGUGUGGCCACAGCUCCCUCCCCAUGCCCAGUGAGCCCUAGAGGUGGUACCAGUUUCCUUCUUCUGUUAAUUGGGGGUGCUUCACGAUCCCUUUCUCUUUACUCUGCCCACACCUCUGUAAAGAGUCCCUUCACACACUCUUCUGUUUCCCCUUUGGGUACACUACCAUUUCCUGUCCCAGAACCCUGAUGCUUUACAAAGGUAACUUUCAAACAAAAGAUAAAAAGCAUGACUUUCAUGCAACUACAAAAUGAACAAAUCAUCACAUUGUGUACGUUUAACAUCUUAUGAUUUUAUCAAUUAUACUUCAAUAAAGCUGAAAAAAUAAAAUGAACACACCCAAAUUUUAAUUAACACAUUCAUUAAAUGAGGGAAUCAGAAAAAGUAUUACAACCAGUUCAAAGGAGAAGCCAAAAAAUAGGAUUACAGAAACGAAUUUGUAGAGGGCUGUAAAACUGGCUUUUCCCCUUAGGAGUCUGGAACCCUCCACCUCCACCUCCACCAGACAGAACGUAUUUGCAUGGAUAUAGGCAAGAAUUAUUUGCAUUAUCAGUUACCUACAAUUUACAUAGUUAUAAAUAGCUCAAAGGCAGUGAGUCAGAAUCAGACACCCUAAGAAGUUGUGCUCCGAUUAAUGCAUGGUAUUUCACUGAGGCAUGAUUUUUCCCUACCUACAUUUGCCUUCUUUCUUUAAGAAGGACCGUCAUUCAAGUGAUUACCUGUGCAGUGAUGUGGAGGCCAUCCUGUUCACCAGGACUUGUUUUAGAGAAAUCCCCGUAUUUAUCUGGCGUAGGUAUUUGAUAUGCUGCUGGAGUUGAGAGGGAGAUCCCCAGGGAACGAGUAACAGAACAGCCCUGCAGGAAGCUAGGAGAGGAAUCCACUCUGCAGAGCUCAGGAGGAGGGGAGGUGGCAUUUGCAAAGGCUGUUUCACAAUAAGAGCGCUCCCUGAACCCUCAGUAAAGCUCACUAGAAAAAGAAAAAGAUGGUUGAGACUGGGUCUUUUGUGCCUUUGUGCAAAUUGGUGAAAGGGGUGAAUUUUGCAUGAGAAUUGGGGGCAGCAUUUGCACUUGAGGAGCCUAAGCAGUGGUCAGGUUGAAGGGGACUCUGAGGUCGAAAACCCCUAAGAGUUUACAGACCUGACAGAACUCUGGACCUGGACAAACUGGAAUUUGCCAUUUGAGCUAAUUCUGGGGGCAAGAAGUCUGCUGAUGUCUGAAUUAUAUAUGCCAUCAACACAGUUCAAGUUGUUCUCUUUAAAAUUUUGUGGGGGGGGGAGGGCAUCCAAAUUUCUAGUUUCACCACCAAUUUACCUUUAUUUCUUUCAUUUCUUUCCUUCUUAGGUUUCUAGCUGCCUAGUUCUGGGGUUCACUCAUUCUGUAAAUGUUUCUUUAGACAUGCUGUGUCCUGGGCAGGAACUAGUUUAAGUUCUGGGGAUACAGCAUUGUACAAGACAUCCAGGUCCCUGCUGUCAUGGGGCUUCCAUGAUAAGGGGAAGAGACAGAGAAUAAAUAUAUAAGAUUAUCUCAGAGUGCUACAGGCUAGAACAAUAAUAGGCUAGUGUGUGUGUGUUGUAUGGAGGCUGAGA